rnacentral:rRNA from 1 species
GACGAACGCUGGCGGCGUGCUUAACACAUGCAAGUCGAGCGGUAAGGCCCUUUCGGGGGUACACGAGCGGCGAACGGGUGAGUAACACGUGGGUGACCUGCCCUCAGCUCUGGGAUAAGCCUGGGAAACCGGUCGUAUACUGAGUAUGACUCCACUGGACGCAUGUUGUGGGGUGGAAAGCCUUGUGCGGCUGAGGAUGGGCCCGCGGCCUAUCAGCUUGUUGGUGGGGUGANGGCCUACCAAGGCGACGACGGGUAGCCGGCCUGAGAGGGCGACCGGCCACACUGGGACUGAGACACGGCCCAGACUCCUACGGGAGGCAGCAGUGGGGAAUCUUGCGCAAU